CCUGCAACAAAAUCAGACAAUUUUAGAGGGACUAAAGCACAAAUUUUCCAUUUGAAGGGGCCAAGGCUUUACCUACCACCUGCUUAUAUAUGUGGUUAAUUGUAUUGAACAUUCUCAAAUUAUCACUAAGAUUUUAAAUUGGUCCUUGAACAAAAAAAAUAUUUUAAUUGAGUUUUCAAAGUAUUAGUAUUAUAUUAAUCAAGUCUUUUCGUCAGUUUGGAUAUCAAUUUAGGCAUUAAAUGAUAGUUCAGAUCUGACAUGGUAUAUAUUUAAAAUACAUGAAUCAAAUUGGGAACAUAUUACAUUCAUGUUGUUUGCACGUAAUUAAAAUUGAACCAUACGUUUUAAAUAUACUCUACACUAUAUUUGAGCUGGCAAUUAACACCUAAGCUACUAGUUAAGUUUCAGAAGGACCUUAUUGAUAUGAUAGUGAUAUUUUAAAGACUCGAAAAGAAAGUUUUGAAGUUCUAAUGCCAAUUUAAAAUCUAGACUACAAUUUUAGUACGCCUUGAACUUGACAACACUCCAACUUUGGUCUCUAAACUUUUUUUUGGUCCAUAUUAGUCCCUGAACAUGACAUCUUUUCUCAAUCUAGUCCUCAAACUUGGAUUUUGUUAGGGAUGAUGGUGUGGAACUCUGAUAUUGGUCCCUAAACUUGUAGCUUUAAGAUUUUAUACAAUUUUUUUUAAUUUCUUAGGUGAUGACAUGACACAAUCUUAAAGUCGUACAUUAUCACACCUUAAUUGAACUAAGUUCAUGGACCAAAUAAGAAAAAAAGAUUACUAAGUUUUGGGAUUAAUGUGGACCAAAAAAGGUUCAAUGACCAAAUUGAAAAAUACCAAGUUCAAAGACUAAAUAUUGCUUUAUCCCAAAAAUAAAAUAAAAUACAAUAUGUAAAAAAAUAAUUUUAUAAAUAUAAAACGUGUAGAAUAUUACCUUUGUUGGCUCCAUAUAUAGCCGUAUUAAAUACAGGUAAUGUACCAGCAAUAGAAGAGAUAAACACAACGCUUGCAGCGGCGGAAGCUUUCAGAAGGGGAUGUGCCAAUACACUAAUGUUAUAAGCAGAUUCGAAGUUGGUGCUCGUCAAAAAUGAAACAUCUUCCGCCGUGUAAUCUGUCACCAUUUUCCAUAUAUUCGUUCCCACGUUAUUUAUCUGCAAAUUUUACGAGUUCAAUUCAAAUCCAAAUUUUUAUUAAUUUUAUAUAAACAUAGGUUAAAUUCCAUGGGAGAUCCCUGUAUAAUAGGGACUAGAUUAAUUUAGUCCUAUUAUUAAAUGGAUCAGUUUAGUCCCAUUAGUACAAAAAGAAUUCAAUUGCACUUCAAUUCCAAACAAAAUGUUUCAUUUACAAAGCCAUAAAAAAAUUAAAAAUAUUAACUCUGUUAAAUUGUAAAUUAUAUUUUUUAAAGCAGUAGAUGUUAUAUCUAUUUCAAUGAGGCCUUAAUUGAUUCUUUUUAAUAAUAGAGGGACUAAUUUAAUCAUGUUUCUAUAAUAGCGGGACCUCUUAGAUACAUUCAACUAUAAACACAUUAAAAGAUAAAAAAUCCUCGUAAUAACAUAACUUUGUAAAAAAUAUAAUAUUGAAAACAUCUCACUUUGAAGAUAGUUUUGUUAAUGGAUUGGAUUGGGUUAGUACAAGUUUUAAAUCUUUGAGUUAUUUUGGUUUGUGUGAAUUUUAGGUGUACAUUAUUUCAUAUUAGAGUUAUUUCAAUUUCGAUUUAUUUUGGGUUUGUGUCAUUUAGGAUAAAGCUCAGGUUUUGCGUGUUGAAUUAUUUAUGGAUUUGGGUCCUUUCAGGUUAUUUCAGCUUCAGGUCUAUUUAGGUUCAAAAUAUUGAACUUUUUUAUUGUUAAAUUGAACAUAUUCAAGUAGAAUGGAUCGAAUUUUCAUAUUUAAGUAAAAUUUAAUAGGAGAACAAUUGCAAAACCCAACCCAAAAUAUUAGGUUCAAAAAAUGGGUCUAGACAAAAAAAUUAGACCAAUUUAAAAUAUGGGCCUUGCUCAGGCUCAAGCAUUCAAGACCCAUGCUCGACUCAACUCGUUCUCUAUGUUUGUAAUAUUUAUUAUAUUAUGAAAUUUACAACACAAAAAAAAAAUUAAAUCUAUAGUAAUAUAUGAUACUAAUAACAUUAAAAAUAUUAAGAUGUCUAUAUAUAAAAUUUUAGUAAAUGCAAAAAAAUAUAUAAAGCUAUUAAAUAUUAAAUAUUAAAUAAAAAUAAUAUAAAUAUUUUUCAAAAUAAUUAAAAUAUAAGAUGGGUAGGCUAGAGUAAAAUAUUAGGCUCAUAUUUUUUGCUAGGUUCAAUUUGAACAAGUAUAAAAUAUAUCAAUAUCAUGUUUAAACCCAGCCCAAACUCAGCCCGGCCCUCCUAGCCAUCAACACCUCUAACCCCACCUAAAAUUUACUAGAUAGUUUAUAUCAUAUUUGAUCUCCCUUGAAAAAUUUUUUUGAUUCUAUAAGGUUACAAUUAUCAUUAAUUUUUGGGUAAACCACAUUGUAGCCACUCAACUAUUAUUUUUUUUCUUUUUUGGUCACCAAACUAUCUUGGAUUUUCGAGUGUUUUUUUUUUUACAUUAGCCAGCUCGUGACAAAUAAUUACAAAAUUAAAUAGUUAGGCGGCCACUUUGUAAAUUUUCAUAGUUGAGCGACCAAAAACAAUUUAUUAAUAGUUGAGUGGUCAUUUUGUAACUUUCGAUAAUUGAGUGACCGAAAAAGAAACCAUAGUUGGGUGAAGUCAAUUGUAAUUUACCCUUAACUUUUUGAUGAAAUGUAUUAAAAUUACUUUAUUAACCCCAAUUAAGAUUAAAUGACAAGAUCUAGCUUGAAUAUUAGAGCACAAGUAAUCAAAAGAUUUAAACAAGCCUAUUUCGAGGAUGAAUUUGCAAUAUAUACAUAAACAUAAAUAUUUGCAGUAAUUUACCAGGAUGUUAAGCUUCCCAUUAAACUCAGAAGAAACUGUGUUUAGUAGAUUUUCUCUUUGAGCUUGAUUCGAAACAUCACACACUGAACCGGUAACUCGUAAACCCUUUGCCUUCCAUUCGAGUAAGCAAUCAUUGAGCUCAGUUUCAGUUCGAGAACAUGUAUGCACAAUCGCUCCGAAUGCAGCUAAUUCCUCUACGAUUGCAUGCCUGAUCAUCAUCGUAUUAAUUGCACAAUACUUGGUUUGUCACAUUGACAUAAAAACAAACACGUUGAAGACAAUAAUAAUAAAGGGAAAAAAAAGUAACCAUUUCGUGUGGAUUUCCACUAGAUUCACAUCAAAUCUGUGUCUCAACACGAAAAUAAGAUUUUCCCUUUAAGUGUGGUGUUGUGUUUUAGUUAUUUUUCUCGUGUUAUUUUUAUGGGUAAAUUAUAUUUAAGGUCAUUAAACAAUUAAUAAGUUUACAUUUUGAUUAUUGAAUUUCAAAAGUUACAAAAUAGUUAAUGAACUAUUCGAAAGUUUUCAUUUUAAGUCACUAGGCUAUUAAAAUCGUUGUUAUAUGACUUUCUCUGUUCGAAAGUUUUUUUCCCCUUUUAUUCUACACUUCAGUUUUUUUUUUUAUAAAACAACUUUAAACCUCAAGAAUUUUAGAUCGAUUUAGAUCUAAUGUAUGUUUUUCUACUCAUUAAUGGGUACUAAUUCACAUACCAGUCGACGAAUUGUCGCUUAAAACUCGUUAGUCGAUCUUUUAAAAAAAAAACUUAAUAACCCAAUAACAAUAACCAUUUUUUACCUUUUUAAAAUUAAAUAAUCAAAAUGUAAAGUUAUUAAUACUUUAGUCACAUUAGGUAUAGUUUACCCUAUUUUUAUCGAAUAGGAAGAGGAAAGUACCCGAUGCCUUUGGUACCACCGGUGACAAGUGCAGUCAUGCCGUGAAGACUCCAUCUUUUGUCUUUGCUACACCCCUCUGCUUCUCCCAUUUUGCUUACUUUCUCACCUUCCUUUUUUAUGGUGCUUCAUAUAUAUGUGUACAUAUAUAUAUAUGGAUGGAUGGAUAAUAUGCUGUAAAUCAGAAUUGUUUUCAACCACAGAACGAGAUUCAUCAUGUACCAUUUAUCUUCAAAUCAAGGUUAUAUUCUGUCAUUAGUCCCUGUAUUUUGUAAAAGUUAUGAAUUUAAUCCCUAUACUUUUAUAUGAUAUUUUUAGCUCUUGCACUCUCCAAAUUUUAAUAUUUCAGUCAUUACCAAAUAAUAACUAUUAAAUUCAUUAAGUAAAGUUAUGCUAUUUCUAAAAUUCGAUGUGCCAAUAUAUAUUAUUAUAUGUGUAAUGUCAUGUCAAUUUAUCUACAUAAAAAUUCAGUUAGUAGAUUAACGACUCUAAUUUGUGUCAAGAUUAAAAUUGCAAAAUACGAAAAGUGUAAGGACUUAGAAAUACCCAAUUGAAAAAAAUAGACUAAAUCUAUAAUUGUACGCAUAAUACAUAACUAGUAAUUGAAUUUACUCAUUAGCCAUUAACGGUGGUAAGUAGCUUCAACAUCCAUAAUUUAAGGGUAAAUUACAUCAGUAGUCAUUUAAUUAUUAGUAUUUUUUCUAUCAUCUAAUUAUGAAAAGUUAUAAAAUUGUUACUUAAUAAAUUUCAUUUUUUGUUACCCAACCAUGAAAAGAUACAAAAUGGUCUCCCAACCAUUCAAUUUUGUUUUUGUUUGUCGCCAACUAGCUGAUAGUGGCGGCUUUUAAAAUUGGCAUAGUAACUAUUUUAACCCUCAAUAUUUAAACAUUGUGUCAAUUUAGUCUUGAUUCUAAAAAAUCUACCCCUCAACAUUUACACAUUAUGUAAUUGGGUCUUUUUUACAAGUUCGAUUUUUUUUGUGACCCUUUUACCUAAAAACCUAAAAAAAUUUAUCAGCUAAAUUUGAUUGAAAAUUUACAAAAAAAAAAUGGAAACACUCAAAAAUCCAAGAUAAUUUUCAUUCUUUUAAAAUUAAUACUUAAUGCCACAAAAAAUUUUACAUUUAUCACUUAACCUUUCAAAAAAAGAUAAUUUAAUCACUGAAAUCAGAAAAAAAAACUUAAUACAUAAUUUGGCACUUAAGUUUGACACUUUUUUCUAAUGUGGUACAUGUGUUGUUUUUUGGUCUAAUUUGGUACAUGUAUUUGAUAAAAGUUAUACAUUCCGGUACCUAAAGGUAAGAAUGCUAAUUUUUUUAGUGUUUAAUUCAAGUUUUAGAAUUGAUUUGAUUAAAAUUCAUAAUUAGCUAAUAAUAUUAACAAUUAACUUUCACAAAAUCAGUCCUAUAACUUUAAUUAAACCUCAAUCAUCAGACUAUAUUUAACAAAUUAAAUAAAUUUACAACUAAAACUAAAUUUACUCUAUUAACAAAAUUAUGAAGAAAAACUAAUAAUAUAAGCACUUUACUUUCCUCAAAUCAAUUCUAAAACCCGAAUUAAUCACUCAAAUAUUACAUUAGAAAAAGAAUAUUGAUCUCGAACACCAAAUGAUAUAUUAAGCUUUUCUUAUUCAUAAAAGAAUGGUAAUCGUUGGAUCUUAUAAGUCUGAUUUGCGCAAAGAGUGCUUUAGAGGGAGAAAAUCAAUUAAAUAAUUAUAAAUCUUCUACUUUUUUUUGUUUUAUUCAAUGAUGAUGUGUCAUAUUAUUAUUUCACUAAUGAUGUAUUAAAUAUUAUUUUUGUGUAUCUUUAUUAUUAUAAAACUCCUAAAUGAAUUUGAUAUCACGAGUUAAAAACAUACAAAUCAAAUCAACAAAAAUCCAAAAGGAAAAUUAAAAUUCAAAAUUAAUGUUUUCUUGAGUGAUGAAGUUGAGCCAAAUGUUUCCUCUACUUGGAGAGGUUUAUGAGAUAGUGGCCAAGGGUUUUAAAUGGGAAGGAGGGGAUGGUUCAAAUAUUCGGUUCAAGUUCGAUUUGUGGGCGGGACAACGACCGUUGAAGGAUAAACAAAACAUGAACCAAUCGGAGAAUGGUCUCCGAUUAUAUCUCAAAUGAGGGUUCGUGGUGGUGCCAAUCCCUUGCAUGAAUAGAGAGGUUGUUAAAGACUCUUGUUGUUGGGGGUUGGAGACUUCUGGUAGAUUUUUGGUAGGCUCUGCUUAUUAUAUGCCAGCAAAAAUGGAGUUCUAUAGCAAUAGUGACAUGAGGUCCGGAGUGAAUUCGUUUUUCAUAGGGCUUGCUUAGCUAAAGCACUAACAGCAUCAUCAAAUUAGCACUUUUUUAUAAUGAUAUAUUGCAUCUACAAAUAAUUAUGUUAAUACAAUUUGAAAAUAAAUGUAAGUAUUCAUUACUUUAGAUGUGACAAUUGAAUCAAAAUCAAAGUUUCUUGUAUACAUAUGAAUCACAAUUCAAGUUUCACGUGAAUAAUUACACCAAGUCAAAAUUUAUGUAUUAAAUUGCACAUUAGACCAAAGCUCAUAUAUAAACUACUUGAUAUUCAUUCCAAAAAUAAUAUUAAAGUUUGGGUUAAAGGGUGGCUAUGAAUCCUCUGUUGGUAAUGCAAAGGGUUGGUGUAACCGCCCAAUUUAGACCCUAAUCGGAACUGUGGUUUUAGGACCACAAAUCCGAGUCAGAAAAAUAUUUUAAAAUUAUUUUCUGUGUUUAUUUUGUGUGAAUUUAUAUUUGUGAAAUUUUCGUGAUUUAAUUUUGUCGUUUAGGUGUCUGAUUAAAUAAAAGGACUUAAUCGCGUAAAUUCAAAAUUUGAUGGUUUUAAGUAUAAGGGUCAAAUUGAUGUUGGCUUAUUGAGUGGGAGACUUUAAGUUGUAAAUAGGCCAUUAUUAAAAUGGGUGAACGGUAAUGGACAAUAAUAAGUGAAAAUAAAAUGUUUAAAACUAAGGUUAAAAAGGUAAAAUAAUGUUAAGUUAUUAUAUAACAUAUAACAUAAAAAUAUAUUAAGUUAUGUUCAUAUAUCAACAUCCACCGAAACCAUAAAUAAGAAAGAAAAAGAAAAAGAACUAGGGUUCGGCCAUUUUGCAAGCUAAAUUCAAGAUCAAGAACAAAGGAAAUCAGACUUGGAUCGGGGAAAAACAAAAAUAGUCGAAUAGCCGAUUUGUAACAUCCGUCGAUAUCCGAGGUAAGUCUUUAAGCAGUUAAACAUGGUUUAUUUUGAACAUAGAAUGAUUUACUAUGAUGAUUCAAAAUUUUUUAAUGUAUUAGUAUGUUAGCCGAAUGAGAAAUAUUGAUGAAUCAAUGUGAUUGAGUUGUAUUUGAAUGACAUCAAAACAUCUGGAAGUGUGUAUGUGUUACAUGGGUUAUUGUACAAUUCGAUAUAUGAAAUGUUGUGGAAUGAGUUUAUAUUUGUGAUAUUCGGGCUUUGAGCCUAGCAAGCCUUGUGCUGGUGACUUUGAUCGGGCUUUGUGCCUAGCAGGCUUAGUGCCGGUGAAUAAAUAUCAGACCUUGGGUCUAGCAGGCUUUGUGCCGGUGUGUGAUUCAGGCUUAUGCCUAGCAGGUUUUAUACCGGUGAUUUAUUUUAAGUCUAUGUCUAUAAGACUUCACAUUGAUGUGGAAAGUGAGCAAGUAAGUUGAUCUAAAUGACUUUUAUAUUUGGCCACAUAAGUAUGUACAUGUGAGGUCAUAUUGAGUUUGUAUAUUCGGCUGCUUGUGAAGUUAUAUUGAACUUGUAUAUUCAAUUUCAUAUGAGGUUAUAUUGAAUUUGUAUAUUCGGCCAUAUGAGAUAUUUUAUUGAACUUGAACAUAGGUUACAUGUGAUGACAAUUUGAACUUAUAUAUUCGGCCAUAUGAGAUAAUAUAAUGAACCUUGUGUAUUUGGCUAUAUAGGUAAGUUUUUAUGAGAUGAUAUAUUGGAUCUUAUAUAUUUUCGAUUAUAUAGGUAAGUAUUUAUGUGGUGUUAUUAUUGACCUUGAACAUUCGACCAAGUUAACUUAUUUGAGUUAAAGUAUAACUUUAAUGGUACGAUUCGACUUGUAUGAAAUGAUUUGAUUAUUUACUUGAGUUGUUUAAAUUGCUUAAGGCUUACUAAGCUAAGUUGGCUUACUCUAUGUGUGUUUUUAUUACUCUGUUUUAUAGAUUUUGGUUGUAAGUUUCAAGCUCAGAGAUCGUGAUCGAAGUCAUCCACACUAUCGUCAACUUUCGGUAUUAUUAAAAGUUUAUUUUGAAACUUAUGGCAUGUAUAGGCUAAUAUGUAUUUUGUUCAACUUUGAAUGUGUAUAUAUAUCGAGCCAUGCGAAUAUGGCUUAUCUUUAAAGUUUGAAUUAUGUUUGGCAAUGGUUUAUCUCAUUUUGAUUUUAAUGUUAUGUGAAAUGAAUGAAAAGUAUAUGUGAUUAGUGUUUUAUGAUUUAGAAAUAGCUUGAAAAUGAUUAUUGGAUUUGGUUGUACUUAAUAAAUUGGUCAUGGUAUGUAUAAAUGUGGUUAGUCAAUUCGGUUAUGGUACAUGUUUGGUUAAUUAUAAAUGUGAAUUCGUAUACUAAGCUUGUUUAACGCAUAUUUUGAAUGACAUGAUAUAGGAUAUGUUUUGUGUUAAUGAAUAGAAUUUAGUUCGGUUUGCAUGUAAGUGUAUAUGUAUUUAAAGUGAUUAAUUGUUUAAUAUAGAUUGUAAGUGAGAAAAAGAUAUCUACCAAAUGAAUAGUGAUUCGAGUAAUAAUGUACUAUGGGAGUUAUAUGAAUUUUUAAUAAGAUGUUAAUUAUAUAUAUUUAUAUACAUGUACAUGUUGUGUAUUCGAUGAAGCUUGACAUAAUGGUUUGGUUUAUAAUGAAAGUAUUUGCGUUUGAAUAUAUUUGCUAAUGAAUAAAUGAUUUGUGAUAAAUAUUAUUCAAUUGAAGAUAUGCGUAUGAUUAUUGGGUUGGAAUUAUGUUUGUUUGAAUGCCAUGGAUAUGGUUUAAAUUUGAGGUAUGAUUCGUAAUGACAAUGUGAUUAAUAGUGCAUGUAUUAUAUUUAAUUAGCCAUGUGCUUAAUAUGUAUGAAUAUGACUUGCAUGAAUAUGUGAAUGUUUGGGAUUAUGUUUUUAUUCAGUAAUGCCUCAUAAUCUUAAUCUGGCGACGGAUACGGGUUAGGGGUGUUACAGUUGGUGUUAGUGGGUAUAUCCCAUAUUGGUUAAAUACAGGCUAUUAAGAGUUUUUUUAUAAUUGUACUUCUUACUCUUAUUGAGAAAUUGGGCCAUAGGCUUAUCACAUUUUUUUUCAAGAGUCUUAUUUUUUCCACAUAGUUACUGUCCGAAAAAUCUAGGAAUUUUUGGUUGUUCGGACGAAGAUAGUGGGGGUAGUUUCAGUGCUUUUUUUUACUUCUUUGCCCCUGCCUUUUUAUUAUUUUCCCCUUAUGUUAACAUUCCUCUCCUCCGCUUUCUGUUUGCGAUUUCUUUAUAAAUUGUCUUUUUUUUUCCUUAAUCACUUUAGAGAAAAUUAUGUCCACGAGUUUGGGUUUUAAGCGGGAUCGACUAUGACCCCUCCAAACUUUCCUACGAAUUGUUCCUACCAUAAUUUCCUGAUAAGAGCAACACUAAUCAAGUUCCAUCUUCCAUAUUCGAGUGUACGAAUAUCGAAGGACUGUGUUAACCUUGGAGGAUGAGAUCCGUUACAUGAUUACACCGAUCAGGGUGAAUUUGUUUCUAAGACGAUAGAUUUACCACGGUGCAAUAAUUUUUUAUUUCAAAUUUCGUUAUUUAUUUUCCAGUAAGUGCUAACAGAUUUGUUUUGCAAUAACUUAUUUCCAACAUCCUCUUGCUCAUUGCCCAAACAGGUCUUAUACAUCACAAUUUACAAACUACGUACACAUUUGAGUUGGCUCGUGGCUCAUAGCUCGUGGUGUUUUGUAAUUUGAUUUGGAAAACAGAGGCCAUUCACGGUGAUCCCACCAUCAACAAAAAUAAGCUGCCCUGUUACAUAUGAAGCCGCCGGUAGGCACAAGAAAGCAACCAUAGCCGACACUUCCUUCGGCUCGCCAGCCCGUCCUAAUGGUGUUCGACUUAUGAUUGCAUUUAUUCCUUCUUUAUCUUCAGAAAACUGCAAAAAUAAUAUAUCAAUGUAUCUAUUAUGUCUAUAGUUGUCUAGUUAUGAUCAAAACUAAAUGUUGAGUCCUAAUAAAUGUAACACAAAGUUAUUUGGAUUUGAUUAGAAAUAAGUUCAAAAUCUUUUUUAUCAUUAUCGAGUCAAACUAUCGAGCCCGCUAAUUUGAAUAUCUUAAUUAUUUAAAAGUUUAAUCAAGUUUUUAGGGUAAAUUGCACCCAAAGUCACUAAACUAUAGUAAGUUUACGUUUUAGUCACCCAACUUAAAAAAGUUACAAAAUGAUCACUAAACUAUUCAAAAGUUUUUAUUUUAGUCACUGGGCUGUUAAAAUAGUUGUUGUAUAGGUUUCUCUGUUUGCGCCGCUUGCACCAAUCGAAAGUUCUCCUUCCCCUUCUUUUCUACAAUUCAACUUUUUUUUUUGCCAUGAAAUAGCUUUGAAAAUCACGAAUCUACAAACCAAAAUCCAAACAACUUUCUUCUCCGAUCUCCGACACUGACUGCUAGAUCGACUUGGAUCCAAGGUAUGUUCUUCUACUCAUCAAUGGGUACUGACCCACUGUACCAAUCAUCAAAUCGUCGCUUGGAGCUUCUUAGCCGAUUUUUUUUUGUAAAAAAAAAAACUUAACAACCUCUUGACUUAUAUCAAAUUUUUUAAUAGUUUAGUAACUUAAAUGAAAACUUUCAAAUAGUUUAAUGACCAUUUUGUAACUCUUUGAAGUUGAGUGACCAAAACGUAAAUUUACUAAUUUUUUAAUGACCUUGGGUGUAGUUUACCCUUUUUUUUUAAUUAUUAGUAAUUGAAAAAUCUCAAUCCAAUCUUGAGCUUCUAACAUUAAUUAUAGAUUUUGUUUCAAUAAUAUUUCAAUGACUUAGAAAAAAAAGAGAAUUACAUAGUUUGAAUUCAAGAAUAAGAAUCGAGUCCAUUUCAUAUUAGGUGAACAAGUCUAAUCAAGUAAGUUCGAGUAAACUUUAAAAAUGAAAUUCAAUCAAGCUCGAAUCGGGUUUUGAAAUUUCAGUUGAACUCAAGCUCCUUACGGCACGAGUUCGUUCAAGACCGAUUACAAGUUUAUUGGGACGGAGGGAGUGUAAAAGAUAAGCAUAAGGAAGAGUUUCUUACACGUUGAGAGAGGGGAGUUUUGAUGAGUGCUGGUGCAAUGGUAUUAACCCUAAUAUUAUCUCCUGCCCAGUCACAAGCUAAGAAUUUCGAAAGAUGAUCCAUGGCCACUGCAACAAAAUCAGACAAUUUUAGAGGGGCUAAAGUACAAAUUUUCCAUUUGAAAGGGCCAAGGCUUUACUUACCACCUGCUUAUAUCUGUGGUUAAUUGUAUUGAACAUUCUCAAAUUAUCACUAAGAUUUUAAAUUGGUCUUUGAACAAAAAAAAUAUUUUAAUUGAGUUUUCAAAGUAUUAGUAUUAUAUUAAUCAAGUCUUUUCGUCAGUUUGGCUAUCAAUUUAGGCAUUAAAUAAUAGCUCAGAUCUGACAUGGUGCAUAUUUAAAACAUAUGAAUCAAAUUGGAAACACAUUAGAUUCAAGUUGUUUGCACAUAAUUAAAAUUGAACCAUACGUUUUAAAUAUGCUCUACACUAUAUUUGAGCUGGCAAUUAACACCCAAGCUACUAGUUAGGUUGUCAGAAGGACCUUAUUGAUAUGAUAGUGAUAUUUUAAAGACUCGAAAAGAAAGUUUUGAAGUUCUAGGGCCAAUUUAAAAUCUAGAGUACAAUUUGAGUACACCUUGAACUUGAUAACACUCCAACUUUGGUCUCUAAACUUUUUUUUGGUCCAUAUUAGUCCCUGAACAUGACAUCUUUCCUCAAUCUAGUCCUCAAACUUGGAUUCUGUUAGGGCAUGAUGGUGUGGAACUCUAAUAUUGGUCCCUAAACUUGUAGCUUUAAGAAUUUAUACAAUUUUUUAAUUUUCUUAGGUGAUGACAUGACACAAUCUUAAAGUCGUACAUUAUCACACCUUAAUUGAACUAAGUUCAUGGACCAAAUAAGAAAAAAAGAUUACUAAGUUUUGGGACUAAUGUGGACCAAAAAAGUUUCAAGGACCAAAUUGAAAAAUACCAAGUUCAAAGACUAAAUAUUGCUUUAUCCCAAAAAAAUAAAUAAAACACAAUAUGUAAAAAAAUAAUUUCAUAAAUAUAAAACGUGUAGAAUAUUACCUUUGUUGACUCCAUAUAUAG
rnacentral:lncRNA from 1 species